AUACUCACUUCAGUAGGACAUAUAGUAAAAUUGGAACGAUAGAGAGAAAAUUAGCAUGAACCCUGCACAAGGAUGACACAAAUUCGUGAAGUAUUCCAUAUUUUA